rnacentral:rRNA from 1 species
GAGUACGCGCCGGGCAAUCUGCCCUGCACUCUGGGACAAGCCCUGGAAACGGGGUCUAAUACCGGAUAUGACGUACUCCUGCAUGGGAUGUGCGUGGAAAGCUCCGGCGGUGCAGGAUGAGCCCGCGGCCUAUCAGCUUGUUGGUGGGGUGAUGGCCUACCAAGGCGACGACGGGUAGCCGGCCUGAGAGGGCGACCGGCCACACUGGGACUGAGACACGGCCCAGACUCCUACGGGAGGCAGCAGUGGGGAAUAUUGCACAAUGGGCGAAAGCCUGAUGCAGCGACGCCGCGUGAGGGAUGACGGCCUUCGGGUUGUAAACCUCUUUCAGCAGGGAAGAAGCGAAAGUGACGGUACCUGCAGAAGAAGCGCCGGCUAACUACGUGCCAGCAGCCGCGGUAAUACGUAGGGCGCAAGCGUUGUCCGGAAUUAUUGGGCGUAAAGAGCUCGUAGGCGGUUUGUCACGUCGGAUGUGAAAGCCCGGGGCUUAACCCCGGGUCUGCAUUCGAUACGGGCAGACUAGAGUGUGGUAGGGGAGAUCGGAAUUCCUGGUGUAGCGGUGAAAUGCGCAGAUAUCAGGAGGAACACCGGUGGCGAAGGCGGAUCUCUGGGCCAUUACUGACGCUGAGGAGCGAAAGCGUGGGGAGCGAACAGGAUUAGAUACCCUGGUAGUCCACGCCGUAAACGUUGGGAACUAGGUGUGGGCGACAUUCCACGUCGUCCGUGCCGCAGCUAACGCA